rnacentral:rRNA from 1 species
UACGGAGGAUCCAAGCGUUAUCCGGAAUCAUUGGGUUUAAAGGGUCCGUAGGCGGUUUAAUAAGUCAGUGGUGAAAGCCCAUCGCUCAACGGUGGAACGGCCAUUGAUACUGUUAAACUUGAAUUAUUAGGAAGUAACUAGAAUAUGUAGUGUAGCGGUGAAAUGCUUAGAGAUUACAUGGAAUACCAAUUGCGAAGGCAGGUUACUACUAAUGGAUUGACGCUGAUGGACGAAAGCGUAGGUAGCGAACAGG